rnacentral:rRNA from 1 species
GACGUACGCUGGCGGCGUGCCUAAUACAUGCAAGUAGAACGCUGAAGAGAGGAGCUUGCUCUUCUUGGAUGAGUUGCGAACGGGUGAGUAACGCGUAGGUAACCUGCCUUGUAGCGGGGGAUAACUAUUGGAAACGAUAGCUAAUACCGCAUAACAAUGGAUGACACAUGUCAUUUAUUUGAAAGGGGCAAUUGCUCCACUACAAGAUGGACCUGCGUUGUAUUAGCUAGUAGGUGAGGUAAUGGCUCACCUAGGCGACGAUACAUAGCCGACCUGAGAGGGUGAUCGGCCACACUGGGACUGAGACACGGCCCAGACUCCUACGGGAGGCAGCAGUAGGGAAUCUUCGGCAAUGGGGGCAACCCUGACCGAGCAACGCCGCGUGAGUGAAGAAGGGUUUUGGAUCGUAAAGCUCUGUUGUAAGUCAAGAACGGGUGUGAGAGUGGAAAGUUCACACUGUGACGGUAGCUUACCAGAAAGGGACGGCUAACUACGUG